ensembl:ncRNA C17C3.21 ncRNA
CUAAUCUCAGAUAUUUUGAAUGUAAACAAGUCAAGAAAGACAGGCACCGACGAGUACCGAUUAGGACACACAUAGUUCACUUUUUU